GCUUUAAGUCUGCGUCCUCCCGGUGUUUUAUGGGGACAGUAGUCAGACGGAAGGAAGGCCUCGUGGAGCAGCGCAGGAACACAGGAAGUCGGGCUUCCGGUAGAAUCGGGCGCGACCUGUCGCCUUUGAUUUAAGGGGAACUUUACGGCCCUCUGUAUCGCAGCGCCAAAAAAGAAAAAUACUAAUUCUCAGGUUGUGCCUGGUGAUCAGAGGAGGACGGCUGAAGCAGGCUGGAAACCCAUCACCGGGCAGGCCCUGGCCCAGUGGCACUCAGGGGAAAACGGAGGAAGAGUCCGGAAGCAGAAGGGAGGAAGAGAAAAAAAAGAGGAGAAGAGAGAAAGAGCACAUGGAAAGACUCAAAGAACCAUCUGCUCUUCAUACAGCGGAGCCAAAAGUCAUUUGAAGGUGCUGUUAUAUAUAAAGCUCCCCAGAGGGGGGGACAAUGUGAAGUAACCUUUAAAGCAUUAUUAUUCAAAAGAACCGGUACAACUGGGGUUUAAUAAAGUACAUCAGGUAAAAAAAAAAAACGAUCUGAAAAGUGUUUUGGUUCACCUUUUAGGAUUUUGAAUUUGAG
ensembl:lncRNA